rnacentral:rRNA from 1 species
UCUACGGGAGGCAGCAGUGGGGAAUAUUGGACAAUGGGCGAAAGCCUGAUCCAGCCAUGCCGCGUGAGUGACGAAGGCCUUAGGGUUGUAAAGCUCUUUUUGGCGGGGACGAUAAUGACGGUACCCGCAGAAUAAGCUCCGGCUAACUCCGUGCCAGCAGCCGCGGUA